rnacentral:rRNA from 1 species
AACGAACGCUGGCGGCAUGCCUAACACAUGCAAGUCGAACGAGACCUUCGGGUCUAGUGGCGCACGGGUGCGUAACGCGUGGGAACCUGCCCUUAGGUUCGGAAUAACUCCCCGAAAGGGGUGCUAAUACCGGCUAAUGUCUUCGGACCAAAGAUUUAUCGCCUUUGGAUGGGCCCGCGUUGGAUUAGCUAGUUGGUAGGGUAAAAGCCUACCACGGCGACGAUCCAUAGCUGGUUUGAGAGGAUGAUCAGCCACACUGGGACUGAGACACGGCCCAGACUCCUACGGGAGGCAGCAGUGGGGAAUAUUGGACAAUGGGCGAAAGCCUGAUCCAGCAAUGCCGCGUGAGUGAUGAAGGCCUUAGGGUUGUAAAGCUCUUUUACCCGGGAUGAUAAUGACAGUACCGGGAGAAUAAGCUCCGGCUAACUCCGUG